AUGAAGGUUGGGGAAAUAGUAAUGCUAUGUUACUUAAGUUCAACCCUACAACCUUCGGGCUGCUUAAUCACCCUUAGGUGGUGAAGAAACCUGGUGUGAGACUAUUUGAGGAUGCAAAAACAGGAGCAUCAAAAUUGAAGGUUCUAUGGAUUGAUGGAAAAAGUAUGGAUGUUUGGUCCUUAGAAGACGAAAUAUGUUUGGGUUCUUCACCUACUACUGCAGUUGUUGAGUAUCCUAAGUAAGUAAUCGUACUAAUGGGUUUGAAUAUUUCUUAAAAAUUAAAGCAAUGGAGUAGGAGCAGCAAGGUGUUGAUGCCGUGGAUGCAAAAUGUCCUCAACCUUUCUCUUUCAAUAGAUGUAUGAACUCUCAAUGGA
rnacentral:lncRNA from 1 species